AGCCUGAUAGUAUAGUGGUUGUAUUCUGCUUUUGGGUAGCAGAGGUUGUUGUUCAAUUCAAGAGUUCAUGUGA